AACGUCAGUAGCGGCAAAAGCCUCGACGAAUGGGCGAUUCGAUGCCAGUGAUGCCCAACGACAUUACAAUCCACUCGAUGUACAGUUGAAAGGCACGCGAGAGUCUACGGCCGAGUAGAGGAGGUCGAACGCGUUUUUUAUUCCCCCCUGACACAUGAAAGUGAAGUGAUUGCACACGAUAUGCAUGACAUACGUGAUCGAAAAGACAAAAAUAACUGUGAAUUAACUUCAUCGAUGUAAAUGUGAACAAGUUAAUUACGAUUGUAGUCACUUAAGCUCGAAAAUAUUCGUUGUGGAGGGCACGAGCGGAGGGACCAAGAGUCAUUAUUUUGUCACAAAGCUAAAUGCACAGUGGAAAGUAUAGGCUGAAGGUGGUAUCAAUGCAGUGUGAAAUAGUGUACCGGUGAUCGUGAACCCAAUUAGCCACUUAACCCUUUCGUCAUUAAAACGGAUAACGCUUCACGAUAAAGGGAAUAAGGCCCAUUUACGAAGAAGCAACAAGUGUUAUUUUUAACCCCAUAGGAGUAUUAUUAUUACUACUAUUAUUACUAAAUCGUCAAAAUGCUCAAGUUCAUACGAGGAAAGAGCCAACAGCCGACACCGGAGAGGCAGAAGCUGCUGAAGGAUCUGUUUGCGUUUAGAAAGACUGUCCAGCAUGGAUUCCCCAACAAACCGACUGCUCUCGCGUGGGAUGCGAGCCUCCGGCUGAUGAUCAUCGGCACUGCCUCUGGUGCCAUCAAAGUUUUUGGAAGGCCUGGUGUUGAAUUUUAUGGACAACAUUCAACUGAGAGCGGUGAAACUGCUGUUACCAGAAUCAUUGCACUGCCGAAUGAGGGACGUCUCGUGUCACUGUGCGAUGACAAUUCUCUCCACUUAUGGGAGAUUAAUGAGAAUUCUGUGGUGGAGACAAAGUCAUUGGCACUGGAGGGUAAAUUGAAGAAAAUUUCGGCAAUCUGUCUGGAGUCAUCGGGAGAGAAUUUACUCCUUGGAACUGAAGGGGGCAAUAUUUAUCUUCUGGAUUUGAAGAAAUUUAAGAUGUCUGAUAAUAUUAUUUAUCAAGAUGUUGUUAUGCAGAAUGUCCCUGAGGAUUACAAGAAGAAUCCGGGAGCGGUGGAGGCUAUAGCCGAGCAACCUGGUCAUCCCGACAGUAUCCUCAUUGGUUACAACCGUGGUCUCAUGGUUCUCUGGAAUAAAGCCACACCCGGUGCUCAACAGUUGAUGGGUUUAUUUUCCCGUGCCCAGACAUUUAUUUCUACUCAACAACUGGAAUCGGUUCACUGGAUAUCUGAGGAUAGAUUUGUAUCGUCACACAAUGAUGGAUCGUACAUGUUUUGGAGUCCGGGUAGUGAUUCAACAUCCGAGCCAACUACAGUUUAUGGACCAUAUCCAUGCAAGGCUAUUUCGAAAAUCUUCGUCUACAGUUUGCCUGAUGACGACGAGAUGAUGCUCUUCUCUGGUGGCAUGCCCCGUUCAAGUUACGGAGACCGUCACACAAUAACUGCAAUGACAAAAUCCAAACACGUGGUUUUCGACCUGACCUCCAAAGUCAUAGACUUCUUCGUUGUGACUUCUAAACCUCACGUGGAAACUGAAUCCUCAGACGACAUAGAUGAGAAAGAUCCUUUGAAAAAUAUUCCGGGUCCGGAGGCCCUGAUAAUCCUCGCAGAAGAGGAAAUCGUUGCAAUAGAUCUAACAGAUCCUGACUGGAAAAUGAUGGCCCUCCCUUAUCUCGUCUCUCUCCACGCGAGCGCAGUCACGUGCUCCCAACAUGUACCCAACGUUCCGGAGGAGCUCUGGAAUUCCGUAGUAACUUCCGGCAAAACGCAAACCGAGCAUCUGUACUCUGAUAAAGAAUGGCCAAUAGACGGUGGUGUUCUUCUCUGUCAGAAAGGCAACAAAAAAUUGACGGAGAACAAGAGAGAUCUCUUGUUAACUGGUCACGAGGAUGGGACGAUUCGCUUCUGGGACGCCUCCGGUGUCACCCUGACCCCUCUGUACAAAUACAGUUCGUCUCUUUUGUUUACUGGUGAGCAUCUAGAUGUUCUGGAGCAGUCACCAGACGAGGAUCAGGAAGAGUGGCCGCCCUUCCGGAAAGUCGGUACCUUCGAUCCUUACUCGGACGAUCCUCGUUUGGCUGUCAAGAAGAUCCUUCUUUGUCCACUGUCCUCAACCUUAAUCGUAGCAGGCACUGCAGGCCACAUAAUAGUCGCCAAGAUCAUCUCACAAGUAAUACAAAAGCAGAUGAAAGCCGUCACCAUGAACAUUGUCAAUGAUCGCGAUGGUUUCGCCUGGAAGGGUCACGAUAGUCUCCCAGUGAGAACAGCUGAGAUCUCCUUUUCCAUCGGUUUUCAGCCUCAAAAUCUCGUUCAACUUUACCCACCAGCCGCUGUUACAGCAUUGACAGUUCACAGUGAAUGGGGACUGAUGGCUGCGGGAACAGCCCAUGGUCUCGCUGUCUUCGAUUACGUUCGCAAUAAGCCAGUCAGUGUGAAAUGCACAUUGAAUCCGAAUGAUCGAUCAGGCUCGGGUGAUACUCCGAUCUCGCGAAGAAAAUCCUUCAAGAAAUCAUUGAGAGAGUCAUUCAGGAGAUUGAGGAAAGGAAGAUCUCAGCGUAGGGCUACAACAGCUAGUCCUUCAGGUAAUAUCACUGAGAAAAAGAAACUGGAGGCACCGGCUCCUGGUGGAAUUGGUGGAGAGGGAGCUGUUGAUAUCAGACCUGUUGAGAGACAGAUUGAAGCACGUCCAGCUGAUGAUUCACUGGGUUCGAUGGUCAGGAGUCUUUAUUUUGCUAGGAGUUUUAUCGUCAGCAUGCAAAAUACAACGCCAACACUCUGGGCCGGCACCAAUAAUGGUACUGUCUAUGUUUUCACACUUGCCAUUCCUGCUGGUGUUAGAAGGGCUGAAGAGGAUGUUGUCUGCACACUUGGCAAGGAAAUUCAGCUAAAGCAUCGUGCACCAGUGAUAGCUAUCACAAUUCUCGAUGGUUCCAGUGUACCAUUGCCAGAGCCUUUUGAAGCUGAAAAAGGUGUUGCCCCUGGGCCAGAUAUGACUGCACCUCAUCGCGUUGUUAUAGCCAGUGAGGAGCAGUUCAAAAUAUUUAAUCUGCCAUCAUUGAAGCCAUUCUGCAAGUAUAAACUUACUGCCCAUGAGGGAUCACGUGUUCGUAAGACAGGUUUCGCCAAGUUCACCUGUCCAGUUGAACCUGCUGGUAUUCACGAGGAGACUUGUCUACUUUGUCUCACUAAUCUUGGUGAAUGUUUGAUAUUAAGUAUACCUGAAUUGAGGAGACAACUCAAUGCAGCUGCUAUUAAACGUGAGGAUAUCAAUGGCAUUUCGUCUCUCACUUUUACCAAAGGAGGGGAGGCUCUUUAUCUUCACUCGAGUUCCGAGCUUGAACGCAUUUCACUGUCUGCUAAUAAUGUUACAAAAGCACAUUGUGCCUUAAAUUUACCACCUAAUGCAAGAUCAACACCCGAGACUACUGUCAGCUCGGUCCAGUCGAUCAAGGAGGAGGAGGGUGAGGGUGAACAGGAGGGAGUCGUUGAGGGAACUGGUGAGAAGGAGAUUGAGGCACCUGGGGCAGCUCGGGCUGUCACGGAAAACGGAAUUGUUGGAUCCACCGGUGAUAAUAACUCUAAAGAGCCAUCAUUGAGGCCAGCAGCGAGCACCACUGAUAUCAAUGGAGACGAGGAUCGACAAGACAUUAAUUCCAUCGGCGACAUCACUAUCGACAGCGUUAAGGAUCAUCUGCUUAACAGUUCACUUUUCAGAAAUGCAACGAGUUCGGAAGAUCUUCAUAAUAGGCUUGCUGGCCUCAAGAUGGAAGUUACAUCGCGCACUUCGGAGAUAUCAACCCAAAAUCAGUCGGUUGUUGUUAAAACAACAACUGUCAUAUCACAGACUUCGAGUAAUGGCACCACUAAUGGUGAAGUUGAAACGAAUCAGAGUAGUGAAUCCCAAGAAGUUAAUAGCACUACAGUAGAACGAGAAAUACGAAGUGGUACCGAGACAACAACAACGCAUGCAACAAUUACACUACCGCCCAAUGUUGAGGUUUGCCCAUGAGCUGUUUAAUGAUAAUUGAUUUUGUGAUUAUUUUCUGUAAUGCAUGUAACUGCUUAAACUAACCAACAUUCAUUAAUUCAACUGGUGAUUAGCGCUGCAGAUCUAGCCAACUUAGAAGUCCAAACGAUCACAGUGACAACGGAAAAAUCCAAGUCAUCAAUGCCGAGAACCGAGGAAAUAAGCUCUCAAAAUUAAUUUACAGACUGCGUAUUUCCCCUCCCUCCACCUCUCGAAUUAUAAUAAAUAAUGCAUAUAUUUUAAUGCCCCCAUUAUUUUAUCAAUAACUAGAAUUUCCGAUAAAUAAUCACCGUUGCAAAGGCGAUAGAUAGAGUUUAUACCUAUGCCGAAAUAAAUUUUAUAAUAUGACGAGAGAAACAAAACAUUUAGAUUUGUACGCAGAUUAUAGUAUUAUGAGUGAAACAGCGCACGCUAAAUUUUCAACGAAUUCAACACAUAAAGAAAAUAUUGAUACGGAGAAUUAUAGUAUCAGUUAUUCAAUCACUUGUUUCAAUCACUUAUUUUCAAUAAUCGCGUGGAAAAAAAAAGUGCAGGAAAACCAUUGACGACGAGGAUGUACUCAAUUUGUGAUUAAAUAUAUUUUUCGACUAAUUCAUAACUAAACUGUUAUGAUUUACGAUUCAGAUUAUCCAGUUUACACGAUAAAGUUGCAUUUAUUUUAGGGAUUUACAUUUCCCAAGUACCAGUAUUUCUCUUCGUUCUUCUAAUUGUUUGUUUUUAUUACGUGAGGGGUGGAGCUCAAACAGUCGAAGUGUAUCUUUUGAAAUGUGUAUUUAUUACGAUAAAGAUGAUUUUCAAAGGAAAAUAUCUAGAGAAAUAAUAAAUUUCCCAACAUUUUCUUGCUGAAUAACUUGUUAUCGUGACCAAUUCAUGUUUAAUGAGGGGAAAAAAUUGGCUGCUUUCACCCCUUCACCACUUGCAUUAAUCUUAAUGCUUUUAUUUGCAACCACAAUGUACAUUAACAAUAUGUAUUUUAUCCGUUGAAAUUGUUUAAUACCUGGUAGCUUAACGCUUCAUUUUCGCAUUGCGCAAUUGUUAAGUUUUUAAUGAAAGAAAAAACAAAUAAUACUUCCAGUACAGAAAGUACGAAUAGAAUGAGAUCACCAGGCGAUAGAUUACUUAAUAAAUUUACUUAUGAAUUAAUAAAUAAAUUUUAUCGUACCAUAGAGAUAACGGUGAAAUCCACAGGCCAUACUUCUCGAGAAAUAUUGAUGUUUAUUAGCCAAUAACAACAUUCCAUAAACAAUAAUUAUAAGAUUCAUGAUUUAAAUGUGAAUGAGAACAAAACACCGAGAGCUUCGUCGGCAUCUGAUCAACUAUUUUAUUAUUACAACUUUUUAUUAUCUGUAGAUAGUUUAUACGUGGUUACAAUUUUAAUACUUUUCAUUGUAAAAAAAAUUGAAGUUUUCAGGCCUCUAUUCAACUAAUCAAAUGACAAUACACGCUGACACUUGAUUACGAGUUGAUUCAUCUAUCAAACGAAAAUAUGUCGAUUAUACUCAAAUGUAAUUAAUUAUCUAACACGACACUGCCCUGACACUGGGAAUUGUUUUUUUCGGAAAUGGUUAAACGAAUUAUUGGCAACUCUUGUAGCAUCACUUGAUUUUUAAUACGAUUAAACGCUUUUUUAAGGAG